rnacentral:rRNA from 1 species
CGCGUAGGCGGCCACCGCAAGUCGACUGUGAAAUCUCCGGGCUUAACCCGGAAAGGUCAGCCGAUACUGCGGGGCUAGAGUGCAGAAGGGGCAACUGGAAUUCUCGGUGUAGCGGUGAAAUGCGUAGAUAUCGAGAGGAACACCUGCGGCGAAGGCGGGUUGCUGGGACGGUACUGACGCUGAGACGCGAAAGCGUGGGAGCGAACA